UGUGUGUUAGUGGAAGCGUCUGGAAAGGCGCGCGAUACAGGGUGACAGCCCCGUACACAAAAAUGCACAUGCUGUGAGCUCGAUGAGUAGGGCGGGACACGUGGUAUCCUGUCUGAAUAUGGGGGGACCAUCCUCCAAGGCUAAAUACUCCUGACUGACCGAUAGUGAACCAGUACCGUGAGGGAAAGGCGAAAAGAACCCCGGCGAGGGGAGUGAAAAAGAACCUGAAACCGUG
rnacentral:rRNA from 1 species